rnacentral:misc_RNA from 1 species
UUAAGUUCAGCGGGUAUCCCUACCUGAUCCGAGGUCAACCUUUGAGUAAUGGUUUAACGGCCAGACGCCCCCCGAUCUCGCAAGCGGAUAGUUUUAACCACAACGCUUAGAGACAGAGAGCUCAGCCGGAAACAUUGAGGCGCGCGGCGGACCGCGGCGCCCAAUACCAAGCGAGGCUUGAGUGGUGUAAUGACGCUCGA